AGCAGGCGCGCAAAUUACCCACUCCCGGCACGGGGAGGUAGUGACGAAAAAUAACGAUACGGGACUCAUCCGAGGCCCCGUAAUCGGAAUGAGAACAAUUUAAAUCCUUUAACGAGGAUCAAUUGGAGGGCAAGUCUGGUGCCAGCAGCCGCGGUAAUUCCAGCUCCAAUAGCGUAUAUUAAAGUUGUUGCGGUUAAAAAGCUCGUAGUCGAAUCUGUGUCCCGCGCCGCCGGUUCGUCGCUUGCGGCGUUUAACUGGCGUGUCCGCGGGACGUCCUGCCGGNGGGCUUAGCCCUUUCGCGAGGGCGGCCCAAUUAUAAUCCCGCCGCGGUGCUCUUCACCGAGUGU
rnacentral:rRNA from 1 species